rnacentral:rRNA from 1 species
UACGUAGGAGACGAGCGUUGUCCGGAAUACUGGCGUAAAGCGCGUGUAGGCGGAUGAGCAAGUCUGCUGUGAAAGCUCCUGGCUUAACCGGGAGUGGUCGGUGGAAACUGCUCGUCUGGAGGACGGUAGAGGUAGGUAGAAUUCCCGGUGUAGUGGUGAAAUGCGUAGAGAUCGGGAGGAAUACCUGUGGCGAAGGCGGCCUACUGGGCCGGACCUGACGCUGAGACGCGAAGGCGUGGGGAGCGAACGGG